rnacentral:rRNA from 1 species
AUGCUACCUGGNUGAUCCUGCCAG